UGGAGUCUGAUGACCAAGGGCAGGAAGCAUCCAGCACGGGACAAAGAAGAAAGCCAGAAGACUCAGCAAGCCAGCUCAUCUCACUUUCUUCUGCCUACUUUGUUGUAGCUGAGCUGGCAGCCAGUUGGAUGGUGCACACUCACAUUGAGGAUUGGGAGGCUGCUGUGUAUGGAUAAGAUACCUGCUACAGCCAGCUUGACACCAUGAGAAGGACAAGAGAAUUGCAGAGACACAUAUCCAGGAUUCUGAUCCAGUUGAGGCACUGAAAUAAUCUAGAACCACCUUCAAAUUUCUUAUAAAGAGAGCUAUGCUAUUAGGAUUUAAUUAAAUGGAUGCCAACAGCAAGUAAACCAUCUCCAAAGAUGCCAUGAAGCUCUCCUAAUUGCAGGAAAAUAUCAGAGGCACUUGAUUUGAGUCUUUCAAGUACGGAAAUAACAAAUUCAGUCUCAACAGACCUAUAGUGAAUGAGAAUGAUUGUCACAUAAUGUGUAGAGAAAAUGGAAGAAUCAAAGGCAAGGGAAACCUGUACAGUGGAGACACAAAGGGUCACUGGCAGAUUUCAAAUGAUCCAAGACAUCCUCAAGGAAGAUUUACCACAAGUUACUUUAUCAUAGCUUUGAGUGGCAUUUUAAUAUCAUAUUUUAAAAGAAAGAAAACAAUAGAAAUGUAUUAAAAUAUCUUCUCAAGAAUCCUUCCAAACCACAAGGAAAAUCACCAGGCCAAAAGUGAGGUUUGAAGUCUGGACAUGUACUGGUUUUCUCUAGCAAUCGACUCUCAAUUUUUGGACAUUGAGAUCUGCUGGUUGGAGAUCUUAGUGCCCAAGGAAGAAUGCUUGCAAAAGGAGAUGGAACAGUGUUUCUGUUGCAUUGGCCACUGAGAAUAUCUGGUUAUUUUGAAUUUGUCACAGUCUGCAGCUAAAAGGCGAACAGGAAAAGAAGAGCAAUCAAACAUCAAGUAAUACUCUCAAUAAAGAUGUGUAAUUAAAACAGAAGAGGAAACAGACUAACAGAAGUGAUGAAGAAUGGCAGUUCUAAGGAUGGCAGGAAUUCACUGAAUGUCUAUCUAUCAUGUAUGCUGUUGGAGGCACCUGUCUUUCAGUUCAGAGGUUAUGGAUGUAUCUAUCAUCAGUAUUUCGGGAAGUCAGGGACCCGGAACAGAGGGACUUAAUGAAGCUGUGGCAGAAGAAAAAAUUAUGAAGAUUUCAUGGACAUUUAUUAGUUCCCCAAAUUAAUACUUUUAUAAUUUCUUACA
rnacentral:lncRNA from 1 species